rnacentral:tRNA from 1 species
AGACUAUUAGUCCAUUAAAGAUUCUGAUUUCGACUCAGCAGAACGUGGUCAAACCCACGAUAGUCUC